GAUGAACGCUGGCGGCGUGCCUAAUACAUGCAAGUCGAGCGAACAGACGAGGAGCUUGCUCCUCUGACGUUAGCGGCGGACGGGUGAGUAACACGUGGAUAACCUACCUAUAAGACUGGGAUAACUUCGGGAAACCGGAGCUAAUACCGGAUAAUAUAUUGAACCGCAUGGUUCAAUAGUGAAAGACGGUUUUGCUGUCACUUAUAGAUGGAUCCGCGCCGCAUUAGCUAGUUGGUAAGGUAACGGCUUACCAAGGCAACGAUGCGUAGCCGACCUAAGAGGGUGAUCGGCCACACUGGAACUGAAACACGGUCCAGACUCCUACGGGAGGCAGCAGUAGGGAAUCUUCCGCAAUGGGCGAAAGCUUGACGGAGCAACGCCGCGUGAGUGAUGAAGGUCUUCGGAUCGUAAAACUCUGUUAUUAGGGAAGAACAAAUGUGUAAGUAACUAUGCACGUCUUGACGGUACCUAAUCAGAAAGCCACGGCUAACUACGUG
rnacentral:rRNA from 1 species